AAUUUCCAUAACAACCUGCAGUGGCAAAAAAGACGGAGCGAGCGAGCGGAGAGAGAAGGGCUGCGGCAGCCAGAUGUUUCCGAGCUGUUGCUACUCAACUCCAGCUACGGGAGAGGCGUCUGACUGGCAGCACAAAAGCCAAUAGUGCUCGUGAUAAGAAAAAUGAAGGCAAAUUGGAAGCAGCCGCUGAAGGGGGAAGAGGGAGGGAUAUCUUCUCGGCGUAGGUUGACACCAGGCAACAGUGAGAAGGCAGAAAAAAGGCUAAGCGAACUGGUUCCCUGAACAGACUGGCGCAGAGCACAGAGUGAGCGCAAGGUGUCGUGGGUACUGUAGUCAGGCUUCGACUAGUGGCGCGUGGAACAGGUGCAUUAUGUUAUUCAUAUUCUUGAAAGAAAAACUUUUGUCACCGGUAACACAACUAGGACUGCAACGACAAGGUCUGCGAAUAUAAGGCAGUUGACGCGUUGUGGAAGCAUGCAAAGUAAAUCAAGAUGCUGGCUGGAACAGUGUUGUGCCAAAAACAGAGAUGUUUGAUACGGAAAAGAGCGAGCGAGAGCUCAGUGAGAAAAGGCCCGUCUCUAUCUACAGUUAUUAUACUACAGCCUUCUGCAUUCCUUCCUCUUGGGGUCACUGUGGAUUCCAUGUUUGGACUCCACUGCUCUCUGAUCGUCAAAGUACAGGCAGAACAUAAUUGAUAAUGAUCGACACUCGCUAUUGCAGUCAAAUAUUCAACAUACAUUUUGUUAAUAAUGAUAAAUUAAUAAAUAGUGCAUCAUGAUAAAUCAAUUAUUGAUUUAUUCCAAAAUGUAUACCUUUUACUGCAGAUGACAUAGUGAUUUGUCAAUGUUCCUUAUAAGGUGUUGAUUCAUUUGUUUCGUUGUUGCACUUUGUUUGAAUGACGUCGAUGCCAAAAGGCAAUGGCUUUUAUAUACUCUCACAAAAGUUAUGUUAGGAUUUUGUUAUGUAGUUCUAUUAGAGAUUUCAAGCUAAAAGAAGAGGCAACUUGUUCAUGAAUUGUGGUGUCAUUUGGUCAUGGCAUUUUGGAAAAAAAUGUACUUUCUAGAUGUACCAUAAUACAGACAA